CAAGCAUGACUUUCCUGAGUGUUUCACUAGAGAUCCAAGAUGACUUUACAUGGAAUACAGGAAUCAUUAUUUAACAGCAGAGGAAACUGAAGCCGGGAAAACAGAGUCACCUGGUUCAGAUCACACGGCUCAGAGGAACUCAAGCUCUCUCCUGGCUCCUUGCUCUUUCUACUUGAACAAAUCCCUGCAGAGACGCCAAACCUCAACAUGGGCACCUUAAUUUUUUGACCAUUUUUGUUGGUUGAAGAAGUAAAACCCAAAUCAUCAUGUCCUUUUUGAGAGAGCCGAGAGCCAGGCCGUCAACGGCCCCUGGAACCUGCUCCACAACUCAGUCUUCCCAACACUCAGCCCUGCGGGCCCAUAUCUGGCAUCAUUGCUGACACCAUGAACAAAUGAACGUGUCCCGUCCUGAAGCCUUGACCUUCUGCGCAGAGUGACUGAGAUCACCAGGUUACUGAAGAGCAAAGCAGACAGUGCCAGCCUUCGGAUGCACUAGCUCUGAUUAGCUUUGGAUGAGAAGACUCUGCUACAGGUGUUGUCUUGUGCUGAGGAGUAAGUAACUCCUAGUAUUAUCACACUGGCUGCAGGCAAGAUUGUCAAGAAGCUGGCUUGGAGCCCUCUGCACAUAGAACCGCUCUCUGAAGUUGCAGUCUACACAACAGCAGUUUAUAGUAGCAACCUCAUUGCAGCACAUUGAGAGGAAUGUUAAAUUUAGCUUACUGGCAAGAAUAGCCUACCACAGCUGAAGAGCCGUACAGGUUUUAAAUAACUCUGAGACAUAAGAGAACUCCCCACAUUUCUUCUCAGUCUGCUUGGAACACGGGCAACUUGACCCCCAGCGCACAAUUAGAAAGUGUAGGGUGCAGUCAGGGGAGCUAAAGACCUUCCAGCUGUGACCCAAAGAAAUAUGCAGAUUGCAGCCAGUCAUUCGGGAGCUAAUUAUCCACAUUCAUCCAAAGCCGCCAGAGGAGACCUAGCGAAUCUACCUCAUUUGCCUCAGAGUUUCAGGAGUACUUAUAAAAAUUAAGCUGAGAGAGAAAAGCAAACUCUAUCAGCUGAUACUUUGGGCUCUAAGACAUAACUCUGCUAAAGAACUGGGAUAAAUGAGAAGAGAUGAUAUACCAGAAUCACCCCAGGAACUGUUUUAACCAACUCAUUGGUUUUAUUCAAUCUGUGAAUUUGGAUUACAGGUAUCAUUUUGGGCUCUGGGAUUUAUCUGAAGUUCUUAGAAACCUUGUUGAAAGUUAACAUUGUCACAACUUUUGCAAAUCCAAGAUGGGGAAAUGCAGAAGACAAGAAAGCACUUGCAACCCAAAUGUAAACACUUCAUGUAAAACUUCUUUUUGAUGUAAAAUCAUUCAACUCCACUUGUUCAAUGAAUUUAGGUAAUUUACACACAGUUGUGCAGAAGCCGAAACCCCUGAUGCUAUAAUUCUGUUUAGGGAUGGGCUUGUUCAUGAGCAACUCACAGAAGAUGGGCAGGUUGCUGGACCUAAAAAUAAAAGAAGGGGAAGAAGGGUUGUGCACACACAGACAUGGAGAAAAUAAUGAGGCUGAUUGGCAAGUGAGGGCUAAAA